rnacentral:rRNA from 1 species
UACGUAGGGUGCGAGCGUUGUCCGGAAUUAUUGGGCGUAAAGAGCUCGUAGGCGGUGUGUCGCGUCGGCCGUGAAAACCUGGGGCUCAACUCUGGGCGUGCGGUCGAUACGGGCAUCACUUGAGUUCGGCAGGGGAGACUGGAAUUCCUGGUGUAGCGGUGAAAUGCGCAGAUAUCAGGAGGAACACCGGUGGCGAAGGCGGGUCUCUGGGCUGAUACUGACGCUGAGGAGCGAAAGCAUGGGUAGCGAACAGG